GGCUGGGUUUAAGGCCUACAUGGGCCAGGUACUACAUUCUUCCCCCCUAAAAUAAAUUUCGUCCUCGAAAUUUUUCUUACUUAAGUCCUCAAAAAUUCAGAUUACUUUUACGUUAAAUCAUAUCAUCCUCUAAUUUCAAAAUCAUAUCUUUCAUCAUAAUAUCUAUCAAAUCAAAUUACUGUUUCGAUCAGUUUGAGAACAAUUCAGAC
rnacentral:lncRNA from 1 species